UACGUAGGGAGCAAGCGUUUGUCCGGAAUCAUUGGGCGUAAAGCGCGCGUAGGCGGCCCUGUAAGUCCGUUGUGAAAGUCAAAGGCUCAACCUUUGAAAGCCGAUGGAUACUGCAGGGCUAGAGUCCGGAAGAGGGCGAGUGGAAUUCCUGGUGUAGCGGUGGAAUGCGCAGAUAUCAGGAGGAACACCAAUAGCGAAGGCAGCUCGCUGGGACGGUACUGACGCUGAGGCGCGAAAGCGUGGGGAGCGAACAGG
rnacentral:rRNA from 1 species